GCCAGGUGUGGUGGUGCACGCCUGUAGUCCUAGCUACUUGGGAGGCUGAGGUAGGAGAAUCGCUUGAGCCUGGGAGUUCCAGGCUGCAGUGAGCUGUGACUGUAUCUCUGCACACUCCAGCCUGGGCAACAGAGUGAGACCCUGUCUCUA
rnacentral:SRP_RNA from 1 species